rnacentral:rRNA from 1 species
UAAGAGGUCCUGCCUGCCCUGUGACAUUAGUUCAACGGCCGCGGUAUUUUGACCGUGCAAAGGUAGCGUAAUAACUUGCCUAUUAAAUGUAGACCUGUAUGAAUGGCAAAACGAGGGCUUAGCUGUCUCCUCUCUCAAGUCGAUGAAAUUAAUCUCCCCGUGCAGAAGCGGAGAUAUUAUCAUAAGACGAGAAGACCCUAUGGAGCUUUAGAUGAUAGACAGCCCAUGUUAAAGACCUCUAAAAUAAAGAACAAAACAUAAUGGCCCCUACUUCUACAUCUUUGGUUGGGGCGACCACGGAGAAACAACCAACCUCCACGUGGAAUAAUAGCACAGCUAUUUCAUCCAAGAACCACGGUUCUAUGAAACAGAACUUCUGACCUUUAAGAUCCGGCAACGCCGAUCAACGAACCAAGUUACCCUAGGGAUAACAGCGCAAUCCCCUUUUAGAGCCCAUAUCGACAAGGGGGUUUACGACCUCGAUGUUGGAUCAGGACAUCCUAAUGGUGCAACCGCUAUUAAGGGUUCGUUUGUUCAACG